GCGUCCAUAGCUCAGCUGGAUAGAGCAUCGGUCUUCGAAACCGAGGGUCGCAGGUUCGAAUCCUGCUGGACGCGCCC
rnacentral:tRNA from 1 species